GUCUGGCACAAAAACAGAGUAACAUCUUCCUCCUCCUCUUCCUCCUCUGGUAGAGUAGCAGUGUAUGUGGACUGUCCUGCUGGCACUCUGUCCUUCUUCAGAGUCUCCUCUGACACACUGAUCCACCUCCACACCUUCAACACCACAUUCACUGAACUUCUUUAUCCUGGGUUUGGGUUUGCAGUCUGGUCACCUGGUUCCUCAGUGUCUCUGUGUUCUCUGUAGGAGGGAGAGUCUCCUCCUGUUAGAGAAACUUUCUCACUGCUUAACAGAUAUUUCAGUCUGUACAGGAUCACACACAGCUGAUGGUAGUUCAGAGAAUGUGUGUAGGAUGUGAGUUUGUCCUGAGGGUGGUGCGACAGUUAAGAUCAUGGACUUAUAGUAGCAGCAAAGAAAAUACUCUCUGCAUGUGGUCUGCUCCCAGCCAGCACAAGCUCUCUCUAAAUGGUAGAAGAGACCAGACACCUUCAUGCUCCAGGCAGAUACAAAGUUUGCAAGCUAACUUUUUGAGCAAAUGAGAACAAGGCUAAGUUAGUGCCGUACUGCUAACUCUGUAAGGACAAAGAGCGACCAGGGUCCUCUGACCUGCACCACUGGAACCACAACUCUUCUAACCCAGGCUCAUCUAUAACAGACAACUAUUGGCUAACAAGCAGAACAACAAAACAACCAACUCUUCCCUCCAUUCAUGGACUGGUAACAUAAAAACUGGGCACAACAUUAGUACAACAGUACAGGACCAGCAAGACUGUUUGACCUCUGUCAAUGUAUAUAUAAUGAUUUCACAUUAUUCACUGAGUUAUUGUUGUGAUAUCUUUGUAGUCAGGUUAUUGAGUAUUUGGCUUUGCAAAAGCAAAGUUGAUUUAAGGUAGGUAAUGCUUCAUACAGACCGUUUUUACUAACCCGGCACCUCUAUGAAACUUAGAUUACACGCAAACAUUUUGGCUUUCAACAUAACUACACUCAGAGAGGGAACUUAAAACUUCCUCUCUCACAUGUCCUAUUGCUUUUCUGACCGAUGUGCUUAGAAGACCUCCCUCUGUGGCCAUCUUUGAUUUGGCCAUCUUGUUUUUAGCUGGAGCUCCUACCCCUCCCCCAUUUCUUCUCAUCUCUGCUGCAUGAUGCAGCAAAGAAAAGACAAAACUCUUCUAAAUCAUAGUAGAGGCCAGACAAGUUACGGCUCUGGGCAGACAAAGUUUGCAAGCUAACUUUCCAAACAAGCAACUAAUCAUCCUUUAUAACUGCUGCUGAAAAUAUCAAUACAUUGAUGUGUUUGAUGUCUUUAAUUGUUUACAUGUAACUUAAGUCCACACUUCAUUAAAAAGUGUGUAUUUUGUACUUAUUAAACAAACCUAAUAAGAAGAA